CCCCAUCUUCACUAGGCCCCGCCCCCGCCAGCCAGUCCAGAGCCGAGCCACUGGUUGGAUCAGCGCAUGCGCGCAGGGGUGGGGAUCACUUCCUCUUUGCCCCAUCCUUUCCCGGGUUGCCCGCAGCGACCUUCGUCCACACUCAGAGACCUAUAGCUGCUGGCUGGAGCAACGGUGCCACCUAGUGGUGAGCGUCAGUGCGACUCAGGAUGUCACGGCGGGGACCCCAGCCUCGAGGAGGUGCUUUCGGAGUCUGGGGUGGCGAUUCAGCACCAGUGUGAGCCGGACAGCGCCUCCACCCCUGGCCUUUGAACCCUGCUUCAGAGCCCCUAAGAAGAGAUUUUUUUUUUUUGGCCCACCGUGAAGGAACUCCAUAAGUCUUUGGUCCACUCCUAACAUUCCCAUAUGGCCUCCAGUUUGCAAAGCUGGUGUCUGGGGGCUCACUGCUCUCCUCUCUCUACGCAUCUCUUUCCUGCUGGUGGUAGGACACAAAGACAUUCAGGGCUGCAGAGAUGAGAGUAACAUAUUUGAUUAUCCAUGCUACAUCCAGUAGCCAGGUAAAGUUAUACUAAAGAAGGGAGGAGCCCCCAGAAGCGCUGGAAACGGAAUAGGUGAGUUUUUGCACAUCUGGAAACCUGCACAUCGAGCUGGGUCCCGCGGCCCGGGGUACACGUGUGCCGACAGGUGUUAGGACACACACGGGGCAGGUAGGAAGGCGCGAGGCUCGAGGGUGGCUUUAUGAUCCCGAGGAGCGAGCGGGUCGAAGGCGCUAGGACCGCGCGGAAUGCCGGGGUGGGCGGGGCUUCGCGGUGCGCGCGCAGCCGCAGACAGCGGCCCGAUGGAGCCCGAACCCGAACCCGGGUCGGUGGAGGUUCCCGCGGGGCGUGUGCUCAGGUGCUACCCGGCCCGGGGGAUGGCGUGGGGUGCGUGGGACCCGGGAGCGAGCGGGGUGGCCUCUGUGCUGAUCACGUGUUCCCGGCUCUCCCCAGCGCCUCGGAGCUCCGCGCCGCGCGCUCGCGGUCCCAGAAGCUACCACAGCGGUCGCAUGGCCCCAAGGACUUCCUCCCGGACGGCUCGGAGGCCCAGGCGGAGCGGCUGCGCCUGUGUCGCCAAGAGCUGUGGCAGCUGCUGGCGGAGGAGCGCGUGGAGCGCCUGGGCAGCUUGGUGGCCGCGGAGUGGAAACCAGAAGAGGGCUUUGUGGAGUUGACGUCUCCUGCGGGGAAAUUCUGGCAGACCAUGGGCUACUCAGAGGAAGGACGGCAGCGACUUCACCCCGAAGAGGCUUUGUAUCUGCUGGAGUGUGGUUCGAUUCAGCUCUUCUACCAAGACCUCCCACUGUCUAUCCAAGAGGCAUACCAGCUGCUGCUGACAGAGGACACCUUGAGUUUCCUGCAGUACCAGGUCUUCAGCCACCUGAAGAGACUGGGCUAUGUGGUUCGUCGGUUCCAGCUAAGCUCUGUCGUGUCACCUUACGAGCGGCAGCUUAAUUUGGAUGGUUAUGCCCAGUGCCUGGAGGAUGGGUCUGGCAAGAGGAAGAGGAGUUCCAGCUGUCGGUCUGUUAAUAAGAAGCCCAAGGUCCUGCAGAACUCCCUGCCGCCCGUCAGCCUGGCAGCCUCCAGCUCACCUGCCUGUGACCAGAGUAGCCAAUACCCAGAGGAGAAGUCUCAGGACUCAAGCCCCAGGCAGGGCUCAGAGCUCCCCUUGCAGUUCCUGGGGUCCUCAGAGCCUUGCUCUGAUCUGGCCAGGGAAGACGUGGGGUGUGACCGAGAGAGUCACAAAAUAGAGAAUGGAGCUAAGGGAACCCCUAAGCUACGCUGGAACUUUGAGCAGAUCUCAUUCCCCAACAUGGCCUCUGAUAGUCGCCACACUUUCCUGCCUGCUCCAGCCCCAGAGCUGCUCCCAGCCAAUGUCAUUGGGCGAGGGACAGAUGCUGAGUCCUGGUGCCAAAAGCUGAACCAGCGGAGGGAGAAGCUCUCCCGUAGAGACCGGGAACAGCAAGCAGUGGUCCAGCAGUUCCGGGAGGAUGUUAACGCAGAUCCCGAGGUGCGGGGCUGCUCCAGCUGGCAGGAGUACAAGGAGCUGCUGCAGAGGCGACAGACGCAGAAGAGCCAGCCCCGGCCUCCACACCUAUGGGGCCAGUCCGUUACCCCCUUGCUCGACCCUGAUAAAGCCGAUUGUCCAGAUCUGGUGAUCCUAACCUGGGUAGCAGAUCAGUCAGUAUCACGGGAGUGUGUAGAAGGCUGACUCCCUUCCUCAACAUCUUGUAGCCGCGGUCCUGCAACAUAUCUCUGUACUGCAGACGACACACCUUGCUGAUGGAGGUUACCGGCUGCUGGAGAAGUCUGGAGGCUUGCAGAUCAGCUUCGAUGUUUACCAGGCUGACGCUGUGGCGACGUUCCGAAAAAACAGCCCUGGCAAACCCUAUGUGCGAAUGUGCAUUAGUGGGUUUGAUGACCCUGUCCCAGACCUCUGCAGCCUCAAGUGCUUGACCUACCAGAGUGGGGAUGUUCCCCUGAUCUUUGCUCUAGUGGACCACGGUGACAUCUCCUUCUACAGCUUCAGAGACUUCACACUGCCCAGGGAUCUGGGCCACUGAAUACAGCUCUGGGGAUGGCUUGCUCUGGGGGGGCCUGGACUGCUCUCAGGGGCCGUGCCAGCUGUCUCUCAUAUAGGACUCACCUGGAUGGAACCGUCCAGGCCAUUGGGGUCUGUGAUCCUAGGUGUCUUCUGUUUGUAGGGACGUGCACACCCUCUUGCCUGGCCACUGUGCUUUCAAGCCCACUGCCUGGAAGUGCUGCCUGACAGUGACGCCCCCACCCCCACCCCCCUUGGAACUCAGGACUUGUUUUCAGAGGCCCAGGACUUGGGUUAGGAGAAAGGACUGUGCCUUUAUUCAAGGGGGUGCUUGCUUCGUGCCAUAAAGCCAAAGCCAUUAAAAAAAUAUAUAUUUUC